rnacentral:rRNA from 1 species
CACAACCUUCCUUUAAGUGGAGAAUAGCCCAGAGAAAUUUGGAUUAAUACUCCGUAACAUUAUGAUGUGGCAUCACAUUAUAAUUAUAGCUCCGGCGCUUAAUGAUGGGUGUGCGGCUGAUUAGAUAGUUGGCGGGGUAACGGCCCACCAAGUCUGCGAUCAGUAACUGGUGUGAGAGCACGACCAGUCACACGGGCACUGAGACACGGGCCCG